GUGCCAGCAGCCGCGGUAAUACGAAGGGUGCAAGCGUUACUCGGAAUUACUGGGCGUAAAGCGUGCGUAGGUGGUGGUUUAAGUCAGAUGUGAAAGCCCUGGGCUCAACCUGGGAACUGCAUUUGAUACUGGAUCACUAGAGUGCGGUAGAGGAUAGUGGAAUUCCCGGUGUAGCAGUGAAAUGCGUAGAGAUCGGGAGGAACACCAGUGGCGAAGGCGACUAUCUGGACCAGCACUGACACUGAGGCACGAAAGCGUGGGGAGCAAACAGGAUUAGAUACCCUGGUAGUCC
rnacentral:rRNA from 1 species